UCUCUGAUGGCCGAGAUCACAGGCGAUAGACUGUAGAUCUACUCACGGGACUAACUCUCUCAGAGAA
rnacentral:tRNA from 1 species